rnacentral:rRNA from 1 species
UACGGGGGGAGCAAGCGUUGUUCGGAUUUACUGGGCGUAAAGGGCGCGUAGGCGGCCGUGUAAGUCACUUGUGAAAUCCCGGGGCUCAACCCCGGGGCUGCAGGUGAGACUGCGUGGCUAGAGCACGGUAGAGGCGAGUGGAAUUCCCGGUGUAGCGGUGGAAUGCGUAGAUAUCGGGAAGAACACCGGUGGCGAAGGCGGCUCGCUGGGCCGUUGCUGACGCUGAGGCGCGAAAGCGUGGGGAGCAAACAGG